rnacentral:snRNA from 1 species
GGACAUGAGGGUGAUCUGGCUGUGACAUCUGUGACCCCACUGAUCACCAGGGUUGAUUUGGAUGAUCUACCUGGCUAGGUGAGGUCCCCUUCCUCCCUCACUGCUCCAUGUGCAUCGCUCCUGAAGCUGUGCACUCGGUCGAAGAGGAUGACUUUCCCCCACAGAAACGUACCAUUCAUCUGUCAAGGGUAUACGGUAGCUGUGCUCCCCUGCUCCAUACAAGCUCAAGCUCAAAUUGUAGGAGAACAUAGGGUAGUCAAGCUUCCAAGGCUGCAGACACAUCCAAGUGAGGCGCUGUAUGGGGCAGUUUGCCAUUCUUU